rnacentral:RNase_P_RNA from 1 species
AGCAGACCGAACAGUCGCGGGUGCAGAACCGAAAGGCUGCAUGCGAGGAAAGUCCGAGCUCCGCAGGGCGGGAUAACGGCUAACGGCCGCCGGGGGUGACCCCAGGGAAAGUGCAACAGAGAUAUACCGCCGAUCAAUUUUCGGCAAGGGUGGAAAGGCGAGGUAAGAGCUCACCGGCGCAGGCGAGAGUCUGCGGCCAUGUAAACCCUAUUCGGAGCAACACCGUGGAGGGACGUUUAACGCUUGCCCGGCGUAUCCCAUGGAGGUGGCAGUGAGCAAUUCCGGUAACGGGUUGCCAAGAUAGAUGACUGUUUUCAACAGAACUCGGCUUAUAGGUCUGGUCU